rnacentral:lncRNA from 1 species
UUUGCUUCCUGCAGUGGGAAAACCCAGAAGCCCACAGCUCUGCCUGCGUGUGGGGGUCUGAGGAGACCGCAUAGCACUGAGCCCUCAGGCUGGGCGGAGGACAACAGCACCAUGACAAAUGGGGCACCAGACCAGAGCCCGCCCUGCGGCAGCCCGGCCCUCCUGUCCCUCGCACUGGGGCUGGCUGCGUUCCUCCUGCGGCUGUGCUGAGCUGGGCCCGAAGACCCCUGCAGGCCGGCAUCCCCCUGCUCCGGAUCUCCGCCGCCAGGCCCAGCCAGCUCCUGUCCCCGUGUUCCCGCAGCGCUUCCCUAUGGCCGCAGCCUCCAGGAGGACCAACUCCAAGCACAGCCUCCGCAGUUGUGCUGUGAAGCUCUGAGAAAUAAAGUACGAGGCUCUAACGCGUUUGUUCUAGUGCUGUUACGGGCUGGCAUUGGGGGGCGCUCGCUGAGGGGAGGACGAGGCCCGCUCGCGCCUCUGGGGCGGCCGCAGCCGCGCGCUGACCGCCG